UCCGCGUGUGCCUGUGCGUGUCCGCGUGUGCCGGGGCUACACCCCCCCCCCGCAUCUCCCGGUGCCUCCGCCCGGCGUGGGGGGUUCGCGGCCGCCCCGCCCCGCACCUGGGGCCGCCCCCGCCCCGCCCCGCGGAUGCUCGGGGCAGCGGCAGCCGAGGAGCCGGGGCUGGGGGCAUGGCGGCCCCGGACAGCUGCGUCAAGGUGGCUGUGAGGAUCCGUCCCCAGCUGCCCAAAGAGAAAAUAGAGGGAUGUCACAUCUGCACCUCGGUGACACCUGGUGAGCCCCAAGUGCUGCUGGGGAAGGACAAGGCCUUCACCUAUGACUUUGUGUUUGACCUGGACACAUGGCAGGAGCAGAUCUACAUGACAUGUGUGGGCAAGCUCAUCGAAGGCUGCUUUGAGGGCUACAAUGCCACCGUGCUGGCGUAUGGCCAGACUGGUGCGGGGAAGACGUACACCAUGGGCACUGGCUUCGACGUGAACAUCUCUGAGGAUGAGCAGGGCAUCAUCCCACGGGCCAUCAGCCACCUCUUCAGCGGCAUCGAGGAGCGCAAGCGGGCGGCACAGAGUCAGGGCAUUGCAGCACCCGAGUUCAAAGUCAGCGCCCAGUUUCUGGAGCUCUACAAUGAGGAGAUACUGGACCUGUUUGACAGUGCCCGCGACCCUGACGCACGCCACCGCAAAUCCAAUAUCAAAAUCCAUGAAGAUGCCAAUGGGAGCAUUUAUACUACGGGAGUCACCUCACGCCUCAUCAGCUCGCAGGACGAGCUGAUCCAGUGCCUAAAGCAGGGGGCUCUUUCCCGCACCACCGCCAGCACCCAGAUGAACGUGCAGAGCUCCCGGUCCCAUGCCAUCUUCACCAUACACCUAUGCCAGAUGAGAGUGUGCACCCGCCCGGAGCUGGUGAACGGGGAGGUGACCAGCCUUGUCGAUGGAGCCCAACCCACCACUGAGUAUGAGACCCUCACGGCCAAGUUCCACUUCGUAGAUCUGGCUGGCUCAGAGAGGCUGAAGCGAACGGGUGCUACUGGCGAGAGAGCGAAGGAAGGCAUCUCCAUCAACUGUGGGCUGCUGGCCUUGGGGAAUGUCAUUAGCGCCCUCGGAGACCAGAGCAAGAAAGUUGUGCACGUGCCCUACCGUGACUCCAAGCUCACUCGCCUGCUUCAGGAUUCCCUCGGCGGCAACAGCCAAACCAUCAUGAUCGCCUGCGUGAGCCCAUCUGACCGGGACUUCAUGGAGACCCUCAACACGCUCAAGUACGCCAACCGGGCUCGCAACAUCAAGAACAAGGUGGUCGUGAACCAGGACAAGACAAGUCAGCAGAUCAGCGCCCUGCGGGCUGAGAUUGCCCGCCUGCAGAUGGAGCUGAUGGAGUACAAAGCAGGCAAACGGGUCAUCGGGGAGGAUGGCUCAGAGAGCUACAGUGACCUUUUCCGCGAGAAUGCCAUGCUGCAGAAGGAGAACAACACCCUGCGCAUGCGGGUGAAGGCCAUGCAGGAGGCCAUUGAUGCUAUUAACAACAGGGUCACCCACCUCAUGAGCCAGGAGGCCAAUCUCAUGCUGGCCAAGGCAGGUGAUGGUAAUGAAGCCAUUGGUGCCCUCAUCCAGAACUACAUCCGGGAGAUUGAAGAGCUGAGGACAAAGCUCCUGGAGAGCGAGUCUAUGAACGAAUCUCUGCGCCGCAGCCUCUCCCGUGUCUCUGCCCGGCCCCCCUUCUCCAUGGUCUCAUCCCCAGCAUCCAGCCUGGCUGGCCUGUGCAGCCCUGUCGUUCCACUGGAUAUGGAGGCCUCCGAUGUCCUCCAACGGGCCAAGCAGGACCUGGAGCGCCUGAAAAAGAAAGAGAGGAGGCAGCAGAGGAAAAGCCCGGAGAAGGAAGCAUUUAAGAAGCGGCAGAAGCUGCAGCAGGACAAUGGGGUGGAGAUGGAUGAGAAUGAGGUGGAAGAGGAGGAGGAGGAUCAGGAUGAGAGUGACUGUGAGGAAGAGGAUGGACGCGAGGAUGAAGAUGAGGACUCAGGCAGUGAAGAGAGCCUAGUGGACUCGGACUCGGAUGCUGAGGAGAAGGCCGUGAAUUUCCAGGCUGACCUGGCGGAUCUGACUUGCGAGAUAGAGAUCAAACAGAAGCUGAUUGAUGAGCUGGAAAACAGCCAGCGGCGCCUACAGACUCUCAAACACCAGUAUGAGGAGAAGCUGAUCCUGCUGCAGAACAAGAUUCGAGACACACAGCUGGAGCGGGACCGGGUCCUGCAGAACCUCAGCACCAUGGAGUGCUACACGGAGGAGAAAGCAAACAAGAUCAAAGCAGACUAUGAGAAGCGGCUGAAGGAGAUGAAUCGUGACCUGCAGAAGCUCCAGGCAGCCCAGAAGGAGCAUGCUCGCCUGCUGAAGAACCAGUCCCGCUACGAGCGGGAGCUGAGGAAGCUGCAGGCAGAGGUGGCCGAGAUGAAGAAAGCAAAGGUUGCACUGAUGAAACAGAUGCGGGAGGAGCAGCAGCGGAGGCGAUUGGCAGAGACCAAGAGGAAUCGGGAGAUCGCGCAGCUCAAGAAGGAGCAGCGCCGGCAGGAGUUUCAGAUCCGGGCUCUGGAGUCUCAGAAGCGGCAGCAGGAAAUAGUGCUGCGGAGGAAAACCCAGGAGGUCUCUGCACUGCGCCGUCUCGCCAAGCCCAUGUCAGACCGGGUCGCGGGCAGGACGAGCCAGAAGCCAGCGAUGCAAGACUCAGGUGCAGAGGUCUCAGCCAGCACCACCUCCUCUGAGCCUGAGUCUGGUGCUCGCUCUGUCUCCAGCAUCGUGCGCCAGUGGAACAGGAAAAUCAACAAUUUCCUGGGAGACCCCUCAUCCUCUGUGAAUGGGGCUCGGCCUGCCAGUAGGAAGAAGUUCCCCAAGAAGGGAGCAAGCCAGACCUUCAGCAAAGCCGCCCGCCUCAAGUGGCAGUCACUGGAGCGGCGCAUCUUUGACAUCGUCAUGCAGAGGAUGACUAUCAUCAACUUGGAGGCUGACAUGGAGCGACUCAUCAAGAAACGUGAGGAGCUGGCACUGCUGCAGGAAGCAUUGCUGGGCAAGAGGGCAAAACUGCAGGCAGAGAGCCCCAAGGAGCAGAAGGGGCUGCAGGAGCUGAACGAGGAGAUUGAGGUGCUGGGGGCCAACAUCGACUACAUCAAUGAUAGCAUUUCUGACUGCCAGGCCACCAUCAUGCAGAUCGAGGAGACCAAGGAGGAGCUCGACUCCACAGACACCUCAGUGGUGAUCAGCUCCUGCUCCCUGGCUGAAGCCCGGCUCCUGUUGGACAACUUCCUGAAGGCUUCCAUUGACAAGGGGCUGCAGGUGGCACAGAAGGAGGCCCAGAUCCGUCUGCUGGAGGGGCGCCUGCGGCAGACGGAUGUGACAGGCUCCUCGCAGAACCACACCAUCCUGGAUGCCCUGCGGGAGAAGGCGGAGUCACAUCCCGAGCUGCAGGCCCUGAUCCAGAAUGUCCAGCAAGAGAAUGGCUACACCAGCACGGAUGAGGAGAUCUCGGAAUUCAGCCUGGCCAGCGAUGGAAGCAUCUCCCAGUCUUUCACCAUGAAGGGCUCAGCCAGCCAGGAUGACUUCAAGUUCAAGGGAGAGCCCAAGCUCUCGGGGCAGAUGAAGGCAGUGUCAGCGGAGUGUCUAGGACCCACACUGGACGUCUCCACCAAGAACAUCACCAAGUCCUUGGCAUCCCUCAUGGAGAUCAAAGAGGAUGGGAUCAGCUUCUCCAUCCGAGACCCCUAUUACAAGGAGAAAGUGUCACGCACCAUCAGCUUGCCCACGCGAGGAAGCACCUUUCCCAGGCAAUCCCGUGGCUCGGACACUUCACCUCUGACAAGGAGGAAAUCCUAUGACCGUGGGCAACCUGCCAGGCCUCCAGAUGUUGGCUUCACGCCUCCCUCAUCCCCACCCACCCGUCCACGCAACGACCGCAAUGUCUUCUCUCGUCUCACAAGCAACCAGAGCCAGGGGUCUGCCUUGGAUAAGUCUGAUGACAGCGAUUCCUCUGUCUCGGAGGUGCUGAGGGGCGUCAUUAACCCGGUGGGUGGCACCAAGAAUGCCCGGACUGCUCCGCUGCAAUGCGUCUCUGUGGCAGAAGGACACACGAAGCCUGUGCUUUGCCUCGAUGCUACCGAUGAGCUGCUUUUCACUGGUUCCAAAGACCGGAGCUGCAAAAUGUGGAACCUGGUGACGGGCCAAGAAAUUGCUUCCCUGAAGGGUCACCCAAACAACGUGGUUUCCAUCAAGUACUGCAGCCACACUGGUCUGGUGUUCACGGUGUCCACGUCGUACAUCAAAGUGUGGGACAUCAGGGACUCGGCUCGGUGCAUCCGCACCCUCACAUCUUCUGGACAGGUGAUCUCUGGGGAUGCCUGUGCUGGGACCACCACCCGCACUGUCACCAGUGUGCAGGGGGAGCACCAGAUCAGCCAGAUUGCACUCAACCCCACUGGCACCAUGCUCUAUGCUGCCACGGGUAACUCUGUCCGCAUCUGGGAGCUGAGCAGGUUGCAGCCCAUCGGGAAGCUGAGUGGCCACAUCGGGCCUGUGAUGUGUCUCACAGUAAACCAGACGGCGAGCAACCAUGACCUGGUGGUCACAGGCUCCAAAGAUCACUAUGUCAAGGUGUUUGAGAUUGCAGAGGGCACGGUGGGCAAUAUUGGCCCCACUCACAACUUUGAGCCUCCUCACUAUGAUGGCAUCGAGUGCCUGGCCAUCCAGGGAGACAUCCUCUUCAGUGGCUCCAGGGACAACGGCAUCAAGAAGUGGGAUCUGGAGCAGCAGGAACUUAUCCAGCAAAUCCCCAAUGCCCACAAAGACUGGGUCUGUGCCCUGGCCUUCAUCCCUGGCCGUCCCAUGGUGCUGAGUGGCUGCAGAGGGGGCAUGAUCAAAGUCUGGAAUGUGGACAACUUCACGCCGGUUGGGGAGAUCAAAGGACACGACAGCCCCAUCAAUGCCAUCUGCACCAACUCCAAGCACAUCUUUACUGCCUCCAGUGACUGCCGGGUAAAGUUAUGGAAUUACGUGCCUGGGCUCACCCCUUGCCUUCCACGACGCGUCCUUGCCAUAAAGGGCCGUGCUACUAGUCUGCCUUGACCCUCCUGCUCUUUCCGACUCUCUUGCUCAUGCACUCUUCUUCUGUCUUUCCUUUCCUUUUCUCUUUCUCUCCAUCUUGUUCUCCCUCUGUCUUUCUCUCUGUUGCUUGCUUUUGCUCCUCUCUCUUUUUCUUUCUUUCUCUCUGGUCUGAGCUGCUUCUUCACGUGAUUUGACAGUGAAGCUCUGGAACGGGAGGAGGUUGCCCACGGGGUCGAACUAGGAACUGCAAAAGGACUGGAAGAUGCGACAGGACGGUGAAGGUAGGGGUAUGUCUCCCUUGCUGUCAAGAGCCUGUCAUCUACAGGAGCUCAGCCUAAGGACAGGGAUUGCUGUGCCUGACCCAGCAGGGUGGACAAUGUCCCAUCUGGUACUUUGAGCACUGCCUGCUCUGGUGAGGACACAGCUCCAUGAGGUACUGUCAGCUCCACCUUCCCUCUUGCUGAGGUUUCUUGAUGGUUUUCCAGUGGCCAGGAAAUGUAUCAUCUCUCUCCUCACCCACCCUGCUUCAACACCUGCCAGGAUUUAUGGGGUUCAGAGCUACUUGGCUUCUUCUCAGAGACACCCUCCUGCCACCACGGGCUCUUGUGGCCUCCACCAUGAUAUGCUGCUUCUGUCUCUGUUGGCUCCGGGGCUGGUUCCUGCAGGAGUCUUCCUCCACUCCAUGGCCAUGAGGAUAUUUGGUGUCUGCUGGCCAGGACCACGACAUAGAGGGGAUGCUUCUUUGGAGACAUUACUCGUGGGACAGCCUCUCUGUGGUGGGAGGUCUGCAGAAGUGUUUCUAGGUGGUCUGUCUACCUGUUCCCAAUAACUGGAGGUGUGCUCCUCUGAGCUCCUUUGCCAUGUCCCAGCUGUGGAGGAGUGGCAAACCUGGGAAGAUCUCCAUCAAGUAACUUGCAGCCAAACCCUCUGCAGUUCUCUUUGACAUUCUCCAAACUCAUCUCAAACUCGGCUGACGAAUGGAUCUUGGACUCUUGGAAUCUUGGAUCUUGUGCCCACGCUGCUCUGCUCUGGAGAAGGGAAGGGCUGCUUAGCCCUGCGCUUGACAUCUGGGCCCUCAGCAGGUGUUUGCAGUGGAUUCCUGCAGUGUGUGACCCCCCCUCAAGAUGAAGAAAUGAAGCAAGAACAGAGGUGACAGGGCAAAGAAGCCAAGACUGGGUUUGUCACCCCAACCCUGUGGCCCAUCUUGUUCUACCAUCACUGGGGGCUGAGAGCUGUAACUCCUUCCCUCAAGCUCUGCUCUCAGCCUUCCUCCAGGGAGGAGGUAGUUUGGAUUUGGCCCAUAGGUCCCCAUGGAUCCAGGAGCCGGAGGGGGCCCAGCGAGGCACGGAGCAACUGGACUUGUUGGAUGGAGUUGAGGGUGAGGAAGGGGUUGCACACACUGGUCCCGCACAAGUCCCCUGAUUCACCCCAUGCUUGAAGGACAAUCCUGCAUCUUCCAAAAUCCAACUUCCAUGAAAGGCUGGGGGCUCCAUCCAGGAAUGUGUCCCCAGGGACAUGGCUUCUCCAGGUUCCCUCCUCGUGUGCAAGGGACUGGCAAGGUCCUGCUCUAACACUGGAGCUUUCCUCCAUCUCUCCUGUGGCUUGUUGGACCUCCCCCUGCUCUGUCCCCUUCUUGGUGAACCAGAGCUUGUGGAAUGGCCAAGGAGUCCCCAGGAGGGGUGCUCUUGCCUCUUGUGCUCUCACUUCCUCUGUCUCAGAAGCAGCAGCUUUUGAACUCCAGUUUCAAAAUUUCUCCAUGUGAUCCUGCCAGGCACUGAACUGGGAUCUUGGAGGCCAGGGACUGCAAGACCUGCCCCAUAAAGCAUAGACCAUUUUCCUUCUGCUUUGUCCACCAUGCUGACUCACAGACCAGCCCCAGAUUGUUUGCCACCAGCCCUCGUUAAAACCAUUCCAUGUGAAGCAUGGGAAUUCCUCUGCAUCCUGAAAGGCAGGAGCAUCUCUAUUGAUUUGAUGGGAUUUUUUUCCCUUUUGGGGUGGAGAAAAAACCCAUCCUGCUGCCUUGCCUUGGUGGAGGGCAUGAUGGUGUGUGUGGGUGUGACCCUGCCUGGGACAGUGACUGUGGCUGAGUCCUGUGCAGCCUGGGACUGGUGACUGCCUCGAGGCGAGGAGCCCUCCUGCCAUGGCCGGGGGAGAAGUGGUGCCAGCGUCAGCAGCUCCGGGCUGGGCACUCCACAGGACUGGAGGGGGUAAACAAAUCUGCGUGAGGCACCACAGCCACCAGUCACACACAGCUGUGGGGAGGUCUUGCCCUCCAAGCCUGCCUGGAAGAGGGUUUCCCUGCUCAUUCCUCAACGGUUUUAAGCUUUGCUUGGCCAUAGGGUUGGUGAGUGUGCGUGUUUGUAGCCAGGUGUGUGGCGUGCAUCAGCGCCUGCACCAAGAUCUGCCAGUGCCUGACCUGAAACCUGCUCCCUGCUGUAGGGGCUGCUCUUGGGGGACUUAGGGUCAGAACUGCCUUGCCUUUUUACACCCAUUUCUUCCUGUGUGUAGGCUGCAAGUGCCUGCUUAAUUUCCCAGGGCUGAGUGUCCAAUCCUGGAUGAUGCUGAGCAUCCACGUUGCUGCUGUUGCAGCAGCAUGGUGAGAGCGCUUUGUGGCAUUUGCAACCUGCAGGUGAAGGGCGCUGUGGCACAGCAGCAGACGUCCAGAGCUGGGGUGGUGGAUCUUUGAAGCACGGGGUGACUGUGAUCCCAUAACUCUAUGUGUUGGGAGUGUAUACAUGUCUUAACCGUCUUGUGUGGGUUAGUACUUCCCACACAGGAGAGCAUUUCUGGGGUGUUGAUCUGGUUUAGCUACCUCACGGUGCAAGCUGGGUGCUGUCAUCAUUGGGGUUUUUGUGGGGGUUGGGGUGGGGAGUUUGUGUUUUAGUUUUUUUUUUUUUCUCUUAAUUAGUGUUAUGGUUUUGAUACUUGAAUUUGUCCUGGGGACAUGUGGCCUCGCCCCCACCUUGCUGCACUUCUGAGCCGUCCCUUGUGUCCCCCUGCCUGCCUCCUCCUGGGCAGCACAGCAGGACCAACAUCCUGCUCUGCCCUGUGCUCCCAGCUCUCACCUUUGUGAUGGGUUCCCUCAGCUGAGUCACGACACUGAGAUUUUACUCCCGUUGCUGCUUGAACUGAGGUUCAGCAGUGUUGCCAGUAGUUCCUGUCUUCAUUUGCAGCCUGGAAGUAGUCUCUCUUGCCCUUCUGAAGGGUGGAAAGGGACCUUGGAAAGGCUUAGCUCAGCCUGUAUUGCUGCCUCUGCUCUCAGAUAUUCCCUGUGGAUGCAAUGAAGCCCUUUUGUCUGGGAAGUGUCCGCAGGAAGCACAUUGCUGGAAUGGGCUGGUCCUAGUCCUCAUAUUCCAGAGCCUGCUGUAAUUCAGUGGCAACCCAAAGUGGCUGGGAACUGGUGCUGUAAAAGCCUCCGUCUGGGGUGGAGGAGGGAGUCUGUGAGAGAAGCAGAUUCUUGUGUGUGAUGUUUGAUUUUUUUUACCCCAAAACCAUAGCUGAAUCUAGACUCUGUCCCAGGCACUGAACAUAACCCAGAGUAACCCAGUUUAUGCCCCACUUGGGGCUGGGGAGCCGACACAGGGCUGUACCCCCUCCCCUGGCACAAUGGGGUUUGGGAGGGGGUUUGCAGGUCUGAGCUACGCUGUCAGUAAGGGGGGAGGCAGGUCCUCCCAUACACUAAAGCACAAAGUCCCAAUGUGCAGGGAGUCGAGCAAGGGUUGCCCCUUGGCUUCUGGUCCUUCAGAACUCCGACUGGUGCUGUGGCCUUGGACAAUCAAGGCAGAGGUGGUUAGGGAUGAUGGUGAGAGGGCUGUUUGCCUGCUGAGGACGCAGGUGAGCUGUUUCAUCCUUUGGCGGUGAGCUGUUUCAUCCUUUGGCGCUGUGCUGGGUGCUGCCUUGGGGCUCAGGGUUUAUACUGCCGUGUAGCUUAAGUCCUUUCUUGUGAUCUCAGAGCCCUUCUGCCAGCCCCUGCAUUGCAGGGACAGUUUGGAGCUGCCUUCACACCAUGCACCUAAUUUUGCUUCACCCUUGGGUGCCUUGGUUUGUGCCAAGGGUGUGAUGAUACCUGUGGUCUGGGGAGGUCCUUCCCUUGAUCGAAUCACUGGGUGAUGCUUCUGUCCCUGCGCCAUGUCCCUUGCUCCGUCAGUCUCCUCCUUCCAGCACACAGAGGCCAGCAUUCCUCUGCUAAGGCUGCAGUGCUGGCCCAGAGCUGAACUUUGCGCACAAGGGGUGGAGAUGACUCAGGGACCCAAAAGCACUGGGCCCUCAAACCACUGUGAGCCCAUGCAGGGAGCCUGGGCACCAUCCCCUCCUUGGCACCCACAGCCCUUAGGGUACAAAAGGCGGUGCAUAUUUUAGCCUCACCAGCUGCAGGGAGACGGAGCACUGGCAUCCUGUCUCCCCCAAGUACGAUUUUCCUCCCUAGCACUUCUGACCACAGCUGCUUUGGGGUCUCAGAUGCUACUUCCUGCCUUGGUGCUGCAGAACCAGUGCCCACUCCCCAAGUCCUCUCCCAGCGCCUGUUUCCCAGUCCUUUCCCUGUCCCAUGCAGGAUGGGUCAGGUACAAUCUCUGCAGAGCACAAGGCUCCCACUUGCUCUUAAGCAAGCUCCCUCGAGCUGCAUGCCCUCCCUGAGCCCCCUUCACCCUCCUGGGGAGGGAAGAGGUCCCGCUGGCUCUGACCCCACCAUGGUGUGCAUGGUGCUGUAACUGUGAGCUCAGCACAGCCCCGACUCCCCCCGGCCUUCUCCUGACCUCCUGAGCCUCACCCUCAGAGAACCACAGCUCUGCACCUUCCUACCCCCAGGGACUCGUCCCUCAUCUGUGACAGCCCUGCCCAUGGUACCUGCCAGCUCUUAAGCAUCCCCCGUCUCCGCUGACCACCUGGUACCCUGUGGUCCAGCCCUCGGGCAGCUGCAGCAUCACAUCGCCUGCUCCAUCACCCUGUCCCGCUGCACAAGUAUCACAAAUAGCAGGUGCCUUUUCUUCCUUGGAGCUGUUUUCUAAAGGCCAACUCUUGUGAAGGCUUUUUCUUUUUCUCUGCUGGGUCGUACAGCCCAGCCCAGCCGUCUGGGUUUGUCACAGGACAAGGCUUGUACAUGUAUUUUAUACCUCGAUGUGUUCCUGUAAAUAGUGUAAGUUAUUUUGGUCUCUUGAUGUACAUGGUUUUUCAAUGGCUGUGUUUGUUCCUUGCCUUUUUGUCUUCACAAAU